rnacentral:rRNA from 1 species
AACGAACGCUGGCGGCAUGCCUAACGCAUGCAAGUCGAACGAUACCUUCGGGUCUAGUGGCGCACGGGUGCGUAACACGUGCGAAUCUGCCCUCCGGUUCGGUAUAACCUAGGGAAACUUGAGCUAAUACCGGAUGACGACGUAAGUCAUAAGUUUUAUCGGCGAAGGAUGAGCCCGCGUAGGAUUAGGUAGUUGGUGGGGUAAUGGCCUACCAAGCCGACGAUCCUUAGCCGGUCUGAGAGGAUGAUCAGCCACACUGGGACUGAGACACGGCCCAGACUCCUACGGGAGGCAGCAGUGGGGAAUAUUGGACAAUGGGCGAAAGCCUGAUCCAGCAAUGCCGCGUGAGUGAUGAAGGCCUUAGGGUUGUAAAGCUCUUUUACCAGGGAUGAUAAUGACAGUACCUGGAGAAUAAGCUCCGGCUAACUCCGUGCCAGCAGCCGCCGUAAAAC